rnacentral:lncRNA from 1 species
CGGGGUUAUUGAAAUGGCUAGUGGUGAAUAACUCCCUCUCUGAAAUACACUUUUUCCCACUCUGUGAAACCCACCUCCUCUGGAUGCUGGAGCAAGGAUGCCACAUCAAACUCUGCCUGCUGCCUGCUCUAAUUCGGUCCUGGAGUCCCAAGGAGCUACCAGUGCAGUGAGUGUAGCUCAGGAUGACAUGUUACUCAGCAAUGGGCCCAGUGUCUGACACGCAUAGAAGCCAACACUAUGGCACCAGCUUUCCAAGAAAGAAAAAAGCUUUAUUGCGAGCGGACUGCAAGGAGAUGGGAGACAACGCUUAAUUCUGCCUCCCUGAGCUGGGGGUGGGUCCAGCUUUUAUGGCAUUCCUAGCUGGUCCCAGGUGAUGCCAAUGUAGCUGGCUGGCCAGGCUGCUGGUAAGGAUGAGGAGGUUAAAGUGUUUCCCAUUGCCCACGCCUGGGCAAUUCUGGCUCUGCGUCAGCUAAUUAACUUAAGCACUGGUUAAUUGGCUUGAGCUGGUCCCUUGGUUACAAUAAUGCCAGGGCUGAGGUUUGCUCCCUGCAGCUCUGAGCUGCCUAAACCUUUGGCUCUUCUUUUGAUGGCUUCUAAGACACCCAAAUACCAAAUGCUCAAAUUUGUUUUUUUAAUUAUCCAACUUUUUGUUUUCGACAGAGACGGGGUCUCUGUCGCCCAGGCUGGAAGUGCAGUGGC